CAAAACAGAGAAAGAAUUGAUAAGCAUAUUUCGCAGUUUUCUUGAUGGCGGAGUGCAUCGCCCACAUAAUGCAGUGAGCAUUUGUCGUGCAGAAAGCAAUGAACAACAGCAGCACCACACACAUCUUUUCCGAUAAGAAUGAGCCACGGCUAACCUGGCCAUGAAGGGUUUCCACAAGUCGAACAUUUCGGUUUUGGAGAAAAAAGAUCUAUGAAGACGCAGCAGCGGUAGACGAAAAUAUUUGCUGAGAGGCAUCAAAAAAUCAAUAUAACCGAUUUUUAGAUGCUCGAGAAUACUAUUCGCAGACUGAGUACAGUCGUAAAAUUAUGCGUUAACAUGGUGAUAUAACGAGAAAAUACCGGAACAAUAACAGUGCCGUAUUACGUGAGUGUUUCGAUGAUGUUGUGAAGUGUCUUGAGGAGCAAAAUCGACGCCACUCCAAUGUAUCCAACGGUAUGCAGAUAACGUGUGAGGUUAAAACAAAGUAAAUUCUAGCAUCUUUUAAUGGCAUUAGUGAACAUAAGCCUUUGACUGGUGACUGGUUGCCGGAUUUUGGUUUUUUAUUUUAUCCGAGGUUCCUUCAAAACAUAGUUCUUGGAUAUGGAAAUUCAUUGGGAACUCCAUUCAGAACCGCGAAGGAUUAUUACGUUGUCGUAUUGUGUUAGUAGGUAAUAUAUUCAAUGGAUCAAUAUUUUGUUCCUUUGAAAAAAAUUGAAAUACUUUUUUCAAUGGCAAUUCGUCAGCACAUUCACUUAAAUACAGGAGAGUCUUUUUUGGUAUGCUAAGCAGGUUGUAUCAUUGGGAAAAUUUUAAAAAGCAUUCCGAAACCGAAAUAAGCGAACAGGGCAGUUUAGGUGAUUUUUAGUAACGAUUUAUAAUUAGGAUAGCAAAAUGAUAUUUUUUAUAAUGACCAGCAUCCAAUUAGAGAGGAUAUCACGGAUCGAUAUGCUGAGACUAAUGGAAUGUGGUAACGUAUUUUAUGAUGUUAAAUUUCAAAGAUAUUAUACAACUAAAUGAUAUGUAUAAUGUAGUUUUAUACAAUG